AACGCGAAGAACCUUACCAAGGCUUGACAUGCAUUAGAUCGCGUCAGAGAUGGCGUCUCCCUUCGGGGCUGGUGUACAGGUGGUGCAUGGUUGUCGUCAGCUCGUGUCGUGAGAUGUUGGGUUAUGUCCCGCAUCGAGCGCAACCCUCGUUCUACGUUGCCAGCGGUUCGGCCGGGGACUCAUAGGAGACUGCCGGGGUCAACUCGGAGGAAGGUGGGGAUGACGUCAAAUCAUCAUGCCCCUUAUGUCUUGGGCUUCACGCAUGCUACAAUGGCCGGUACAGAGGGUUGCGAUACUGUGAGGUGGAGCUAAUCCCUUAAAGCCGGUCUCAGUUCGGAUUGGGGUCUGCAACUCGACCCCAUGAAGUCGGAGUCGCUAGUAAUCGCAGAUCAGCA
rnacentral:rRNA from 1 species